rnacentral:lncRNA from 1 species
AUGGCUGUCUUAGUUCCUGAUUAUCCAAAUCCUACCUUAGACAAUUCCAGAAAGUCAACUUACCUUCACACAUCUAUCCCAAUCCUUCUCCACACUACCAUACUUACAGAGACUCAAAGAUCCUUAAGGUUCCCUGCCACAUACUAACUGUUGCCUAAGGAAAGAACAUCCUAGUUUUUAUCAGUUGGUUUCUGAUUCUGAAGACAGAGUUGCAGCUACCAGCAGCCUGGGACCUGGGGCUGGGGCUGUAUGAGUGCUCUGGGUCAAGAAGAUCAGGAGGAAGCAGUAUCAGCAAUGCCAGAGUCAGUAGCAAGGAACUAGGAACACAAACGUGGGCUCAAACAGAUGGGCAAGAGUCCUCAAACUUAAAACAGCCAGGCCCAUAGGGAGAGCGACCAGGAAAAAAAAAGUAGGGAUUGAAGAAAAAGGCAGCAGCUCCAAAGAGAGUUCCGAGUUUGUGAGGAUGGAUGAGGUGGGAGAACUGCCUUGGAAAGAGAAACACGACUUAAAAAAAUUUAUCUAGGCUAUCUUAAAAAAUUGAGAGCUUCUUCUCCAAUUAAUGGUUGCCAUUAAUGUAAAAGUUAAAAUUAAAUCUCAAUAAUAAAAC